UGGAACAAAAGGGUAAAA
rnacentral:snRNA from 1 species